rnacentral:rRNA from 1 species
UACGGAGGAUCCAAGCGUUAUCCGGAUUUAUUGGGUUUAAAGGGUGCGUUGGCGGAUUGAUAAGUUAGAGGUGAAAUGUCCGAGCUCAACUCGGGAACUGCCUCUAAUACUGUUGAUCUAGAGAGUAGAUGCGGUAGGCGGAAUGUAUGGUGUAGCGGUGAAAUGCUUAGAGAUCAUACAGAACACCGAUUGCGAAGGCAGCUUACCAAUCUAUAUCUGACGUUGAGGCACGAAAGCGUGGGGAGCAAACAGG